rnacentral:antisense_RNA from 1 species
UGUGAGAGCGGGCUUGCUCGCGAAGGCGUCCUUUCAGUCAACAUUAUUGUUGACUGGCAGACCGCUUUCGCGAGCAAGCCCGCUCCCACA